GUCACUAAAAGUAACUAAAUAGACGGCUUAUACAUGCUACAUGGACAUGAGAGAUAUGUCUUUGCAAAGCUUUAAGUGUCUACUUUUAAACGAAACAAAUUCUAAAAAAAAUAUUCUCCCUUUAUGUAAUCAGUAUAAAAGUAAAGAGAGGUACUGUUUCUCCUGUCUUACCUAAUUAUCUUUAAUGUGUGCCCGCCCACGCGCAGAGCGCUCUAUUCAUAAGAUAAUGUGCUAAGGCGAUCUAUGCAAACUGUAAACGCCCCUAACAGCGUCUUAAAAAGCAUCAAGUUUCAUCAGAUUCAUUCGCUUUCCUGCGCGUUUGGAAGAUGGCACGCUACUCAGGUGAGCAGGCUCUUCAGUGGUCCUGGACAGUGAGGAAGAGUUCACAUUUCCUCGGAAGAAGAACACGACUCUGACGAUGAACGUCUGUAUUUUGAAGAGCGACUUGAUCCAGCUGAAGAUACAGUUUCUGAUGAGAAUGUGGAUCCAUCACUCUCACAUUCACCUGCAAUUCCCACUAAGAGGGCACCCAGCAACACAGGCGAAAAUGAGAAAGACUAUAGCCCUAAUGAGAGUGCUCCAAAACCCCUUGCAAAAAAGGCCAAGAAAAACAUUCAGACAAGCAACAGGCAUUCAGCUCUGUCAUGGAAAACAGAUAGUGACACUGACAUGGUUCCACAGACUCUGAGAUUCCUACCUGCACGGGAACCUGGACCACAGCUGCGUCCUGCUGAUGAACACACUCCUAAGAGUCUCUUCAAAAUGUUCAAAAUGCAAGGAAUAAUGCCACCGCUGGUCGUUGGAACUGCAUGCUUUGCAAAGUACAGCUUGGUAAAAGGCAAGACACACCUUGGAAAUGCCAGGCAUGUGACAUUUACUUGUGUCUUCAGUUGAAAAGGAACUGUUUUCAAAAAUGGCACACAGGUGUGUGACUGUUCAGAUUCUCUGUUCACCACCUCUCACUGACCAUUGGGCUGCAAAGAUUAUCUAUAUGUGAUCAAGCAGGUUAUGUAUAGGGUGUAAAAGUGGGCUUUUUUUUAUAAACCUUACCUUUAUUUGCCUGUAUACACAAAAUGUGCCUUUGACCCUAGUUUAUAUGUGGAUUAUAUUGUUAACUUUAUUUUAAAUAAAAAAGAAAA